rnacentral:misc_RNA from 1 species
UUGGAAUUUGACAGAGCUGCAUUCAUAAUAGCAUCAACAGCAACAGAUGAGGAAAUGCUAAACUGGUACCAUGAACACGUUGUGUGGGGUGAUAAAGACCUAAAAUCGAAACUCUUGAGGAAGGGCAUUUUAACUCGCGUGUAUUCUCCCAUGGUCAUGAUACAGGCUUUAAGAGAAUCUGGUGUAUUCAGCUCUAUUAUUGCAUCUGCUCCAACAACUAUUUCAAAAGACAAGUUUUUAGCAUCAAUUGAUAAAAGCAACUCAUCCAGAGCUGUUGCCUCUGAAUCGCUACCAUCAAGAAAGAUUGGAAGAAGGGAAGAAACAGAGCGCAUCAGGCAGCAGCUAGAAAGGUUUUGGAUUUAGAAGCUAUUGAAUCUCAUGAAGCAGCUGUUCCUCCAUUGUCUCCUCCAGGAGCGAAUGACGACUUCCUUGUGGAAGCGUGAUCCAGAUUUUGGCAUGAUUGCUUCUUCUUCUCAUUCCUGUUCAAAUAGGUGUGACUAUCGGUGUGAUCAUUUUCGUCUAAUUUGCUUUGAAGGGAAGAAUCAGGAGAGAAAAGAAAGAGCAAGCAGGCCUCUUGUUGCAGUAUGUGUUCAGUUCUGUUGGUUCUUCCCGAUCAUGAUCCAAGCGCUUGUGUACAGUCUUUAGGAGAGAUUUAUAGCCUGGUAACUUUAUGUCACGACUCAACCAGAAUACUCAACUUAUUAUUUUCAUGUAUAUAAACCACAGUGUUGACAGCCAAGGGUUGUAACGAUCAUUAGUUCAUUAUGUGGAAAUUCAAGAGAACAUCUGAUGGGAGUCUCUUGAGAGGAUAUUGUGUCAUCAACUUUUUGUAUUUGAGAGGAGGAUGUCUAUUUGAACCAACGUUAUUUUGUUUCUUUAAAGGUGCCAUAUGUGGUGCUCUGAUGAAGGAAGGCCCAAGCCAUUGAAGGCUUGGCUAGAACUUCAUACUGGC